rnacentral:rRNA from 1 species
UACGUAGGUGGCUAGCGUUGUCCGGAUUUACUGGGCGUAAAGAGCGCGCAGGCGGUCGUUCAAGUCGAGUGUGAAAGCCCCCGGCUCAACUGGGGAGGGUCACUCGAUACUGAUCGACUUGAAGGCGGGAGAGGGAAGCGGAAUUCCCGGUGUAGUGGUGAAAUGCGUAGAUAUCUGGAGGAACACCGGUGGCGAAGGCGGCAUCCUGGACCGACAUUGACGCUGAGGCGCGAAAGCCAGGGGAGCAAACGGG